AGCAGCCGCGGUAAUUCCAGCUCCAAUAGCGUAUAUUAAAGUUGUUGCAGUUAAAAAGCUCGUAGUUGAAUUUCGGGAUCAAAUUGUCGGUCGUGCCUCGGUACGCACUGGCAUUAUUGGUUCCUACCUUCUGAAGAACCGCGAUGUCAUUAAUUUGGUGUCGUGGGGAAUCAGGACUGUUACUUUGAAAAAUUAGAGUGUUUAAAGCAGGCGCACGCUUGAAUACAUUAGCAUGGAAUAAUGAAAUAGGACGUUUGAUUCUAUUUUGUUGGUUUCUAGGAUCGACGUAAUGAUUAAUAGGGAUAGUUGGGGGCAUUAGUAUUCAAUUGUCAGAGGUGAAAUUCUUGGAUUUAUUGAAGACUAACUACUGCGAAAGCAUUUGCCAAGGAUGUUUUCAUUAAUCAAGAACGAAAGUUAGGGGAUCGAAGACGAUCAGAUACCGUCGUAGUCUUAACCAUAAACUAUGCCGACUAGGGAUCGGAUGAUGUUAAUUUUUUAAUGUACUCA
rnacentral:rRNA from 1 species